rnacentral:rRNA from 1 species
CCUACGGGUGGCUGCAGUGAGGAAUAUUGGUCAAUGGACGCAAGUCUGAACCAGCCAUGCCGCGUGCAGGAAGACGGCUCUAUGAGUUGUAAACUGCUUUUGUACGAGGGUAAACGCAGAUACGCGUAUCUGUCUGAAAGUAUCGUACGAAUAAGGAUCGGCUAACUCCGUGCCAGCAGCCGCGGUAAUACGGAGGAUUCAAGCGUUAUCCGGAUUUAUUGGGUUUAAAGGGUGCGUAGGCGGGCUGUUAAGUCAGCGGUAAAAGCCCGGGGCUCAACCCCGGCGAGCCGUUGAAACUGGCUGUCUUGAGAUGUCGAGAGGUAUGCGGAAUGCGCAGUGUAGCGGUGAAAUGCUUAGAUAUUGCGCAGAACUCCGAUUGCGAAGGCAGCAUACCGGCGGCGAUCUGACGCUGAGGCACGAAAGCGUGGGUAUCGAACAGGAUUAGAUACCCCAGUAGUC